GACGAACGCUGGCGGCGCGCCUAACACAUGCAAGUCGAACGAGCGAGAGAGAGCUUGCUUUCUCAAGCGAGUGGCGAACGGGUGAGUAACGCGUGAGGAACCUGCCUCAAAGAGGGGGACAACAGUUGGAAACGACUGCUAAUACCGCAUAAGCCCACGACCCGGCAUCGGGUUGAGGGAAAAGGAGCAAUCCGCUUUGAGAUGGCCUCGCGUCCGAUUAGCUGGUUGGUGAGGUAACGGCCCACCAAGGCGACGAUCUAUAGCUGGUCUGAGAGGACGAUCAGCCACAUUGGAACUGAGACACGGUCCAA
rnacentral:rRNA from 1 species